GAUGAACGCUGACAGAAUGCUUAACACAUGCAAGUCCACUUGAACUUCGGUUUGGGUGGCGGACGGGUGAGUAACGCGUAAAGAACUUGCCUCACAGAUAGGGACAACAUUUGGAAACGAAUGCUAAUACCUGAUAUUAUGAUUAUAUGGCAUCGUAUAAUUAUGAAAGCUAUAUGCGCUGUGAGAGAGCUUUGCGUCCCAUUAGCUAGUUGGAGAGGUAACGGCUCACCAAGGCGAUGAUGGGUAGCCGGCCUGAGAGGGUGAUCGGCCACAAGGGGACUGAGACACGGCCCUUACUCCUACGGGAGGCAGCAGUGGGGAAUAUUGGACAAUGGACCAAGAGUCUGAUCCAGCAAUUCUGUGUGUACGAUGAAGUUUUUCGGAAUGUAAAGUGCUUUCAGUUGGGAAGAAAAAAAUGACGGUACCAACAGAAGAAGUGACGGCUAAAUACGUG
rnacentral:rRNA from 1 species